rnacentral:rRNA from 1 species
GAACGAAGCACAGAUGUAGAAUUUCUUCGGAAAGGAAGCGCCUGUGACUGAGUGGCGGACGGGUGAGUAACGCGUGGGCAACCUGCCCCAUACCGGGGGACAACAGCUGGAAACGGCUGCUAAUACCGCAUACGUUUUCGGUGCCGCAUGGCGCCGAAAAGAAAACUCCGGUGGUAUGGGAUGGGCCCGCGUCUGAUUAGCUAGUUGGGAGGGUAACGGCCUACCAAGGCGACGAUCAGUAGCCGGCCUGAGAGGGCGACCGGCCACAUUGGGACUGAGACACGGCCCAGACUCCUGCGGGAGGCAGCAGUGGGGAAUAUUGCACAAUGGGGGGAACCCUGAUGCAGCGACGCCGCGUGAGCGAAGAAGUACCUCGGUAUGUAAAGCUCUAUCAGCAGGGAAGAAAGUGACAGUACCUGACUAAGAAGCCCCGGCUAACUACGUGCCAGCAGCCGCGGUAAUACGUAGGGGGCAAGCGUUAUCCGGAUUCACUGGGCGUAAAGGGAGCGCAGGCGGCGCGGCAAGUCUGAUGUGAAAGCCCGGGGCUCAACCCCGGGUCUGCAUUGGAAACUGUCGAGCUGGAGUGUCGGAGGGGUAAGCGGAAUUCCUAGUGUAGCGGUGAAAUGCGUAGA